GAUGAACGCUGGCGGCGUGCCUAAUACAUGCAAGUCGAGCGAACAGACGAGGAGCUUGCUCCUCUGACGUUAGCGGCGGACGGGUGAGUAACACGUGGAUAACCUACCUAUAAGACUGGGUUAACUUCGGGAAACCGGAGCUAAUACCGGAUAAUAUACUGAAUCGCAUGAUUCAAUAGUGAAAGACGGUUUUGAUGACACUUAUAGAUGGAUCCGCGCCGCCUUAGCUAGUUGGUAAGGUAACGGCUUACGCCAGCAACGAUGGGUACCCCACAUGAGAGGGAGAUCGGCCACACGGGAAGUGAGAAAGGGCCGAGACUCCUACGGGGGGCAGCGGUAGGGACUCUUCCGCAAUGGAGGAGAGGCGGACGGAGCAACGCCGCGUGAGUGAUGAUGGAGUGCGGAUCGGAAAACGCUGUUAUUAGGGAAGAACAAAUGCGUAAGUAACUGUGCAGGUCUUGACGGUACCUAAGCAGAAAGCCACGGCUAACUACGUG
rnacentral:rRNA from 1 species